CAGACGAACAGAGGGCUUCUCUCCUUCGCCCCUCUUCUCCCUCACAUCAAAUCCUCCCUUGAUCUACUCCAUCCUCCAUCCAAAUUUAUGGAUCUGAGGCCCCCAAGCAUCCUUGAGGAUGGCGGAUGGUGAUGGACCUUGGUAUGACGGAUUAAUCGAUGAGUGGGAUAAGGAGCAUCAUGCUCGUGUCAUUGAGAACGGACAUCUUGUAGUUGCUAUGCGCAUGAGGGGACAUUCGGCUAAUGACUUUACUUAUGACCCGCGGUACGAGCCUUAUAUUCGGAGAUUGGGUCUUCUCCCAUUCGUGUUGCAGUUUAAGCGACGCGCUCCGCCGGUGAACCACGCGGCGCUGACCGCACUUGUGGAUCGUUGGAGGCUGGAGACUCACUCGUUCCACCUUCCAUUUGGGGAGAUGACGAUGACCCUUGAGGACAUGGCUAUGAUAAGCGGCCUUCCUAUCAACGGACAAGCUGUUACCGGUCGUGUCAGUGCCGUUAAUUGGCGAGAACGGACUGACAUUUUAAUUGGUGUUCAGCCCGACGCCCCUGAGGAAGGCAAGGCCGAUACCGCGAGAGUGAGGCAUUCUUGGCUAAAAGUGGUUAGAGGAAACACCAAUCUGUGUCCUCAGGGUGCUAAUGACGUGGUUGUGCAGCAGUACACGCGGGCCUAUCUUUGGUAUGUGCUAACCAAGGUAGUCUUCUCAGAUGCAACCGGGAACUCGGCCCUCUAGAUGUUCCUGGAGCUACUCAAUAACUGGGAUACCCAGUAUAGCCGGGGUUUGGCCGCACUAGCAUAUUUGUAUCGUCAGCUUGACUUGGCGUGUCGCAGGAAGGGAGAUACAUCCUCAUUGUCUGGGUUUGUUUGGAGCCUAUCCGUGUGGAUGUGGGAGCGGAUCCCGGUUGGACGGCCCGAUAUCAAGGACCCCAACAUGGCAAACCCACGGGGUAAUCCAGACGGGCUGCAUGAUGAUGAUCCAUAUCGACGCCCUACGCUUGCUUACUAUUGGGAACAAGUGACAGUGUACACAGGAAGCUCGCAUGUGCGAUACAAGUGCUAUAUGAACGAGCUGGACACCUUGACUGCUAAGCAGGUACAUUGGUUGCCUUAUAUGGAAGAUCAUGACUAUGAUCUUAAUGAGAUGUGCACGCGUGAUAGCCAUCUUUGGCGGGCGAGGUGCCCAAUGAUAUGCUUCUUCGCAGUCGAGUGGCACUUUGUAGACCGUGUGGCGAGACAAUUUGGAAAAGACAAGGUAUUUUAAUUGAGGAGAGCAACAAGCAAAUGCUAUCUCUGCAUCGGUUCGAUCGAAGGAACAAUCAGGAUAUAUCGGAUUGGGCAAACAAACACCGUGCGUGGAUAGAAAUUUGGAAUCAAAGAGACACGUUAGUGCAAUCAGAGAAUAGACCUCACAAUCAGUCAGCAUAUCAGAAGUAUCAAGUGUGGUAUGCGGAUCAUUACCGGUUAAAGCUAAAGCCUGGUUGGACUCACGAGGAGUGGUCGGAGUUGGUGUCUGAAGACCCGGAGACUGCAGAAGGUUAUCAUACCUUCAACACGACUGUGAGAGACACCAGAGGGGCUCACGUUGACUAUGCGCCGAUGCAUGA